CCUACGGGAUGCAGCAGGCGCGAAACCUUUACAAUGCGCUAAUGCGUGAUAAGGGUACUCCAAGUGCUUAUGCUUUGCAUAGGCUUUUGCUAAGGGUGAAAACCUUGGCGAAUAAGUGGUGGGAAAGAUUGGUGCCAGCAGCCGCGGUAACCCCAGCGCCACAAGUGGUGAUCGGUUUUAUUGGGCCUAAAGCAUUCGUAGCUGGUUGAAACAGUUUCUUGUGAAAUCGGGAUGCUUAAUGUACCGGACUGCAGGAAAUACUAUUCAACUUGGGAUUGGGAGGAGCAAGAGGAAUUUUGGGGGAAGCGGUAAAAUGCUAUAAUCCCUAAAAGACCACCGAUGGUGAAGGCAUCUUGCUAGAACAAAUCCGACAGUCAGGAAUGAAAGCUAGGGGAGUAAAUGGGAUUAGAUACCCGCGUAGUCC
rnacentral:rRNA from 1 species